UUACUUGGAAUAACACACUUACUGGUAUAAAGGAGGGUAAUGUUGUUAAACUCUCCAUGUUGGUGUCUCGUCUCUAUUUACAUGAACACUAAUGGUGCAGGAACAAACACUGGCUGUUUGAGUCAUGUCAAGGUUGGAAUCGUGACAAAUUCUCUCAUGGUUCACCUAAAUUACCAGCAGUACUGGCUAAGAAAGCUUAGCCACCAGGCUGUAAACAAGGCAGUAUUUUAGAAUGAUAGUAGCCGUGGCAUCAUCGACAGGUUUCACGAUGUAACUGUGCCUGCUCUGGCCUGGCGUUCCUCUUUGUAUCCAGAGAGCUUUCCCAGUCGCUCUCCCACAGCCGAGGCUUGAUUGUUGGACUGCAGAUCCCCAAAGACCUCCACUGAGGGUCAGGAAUCUAGUGCUCUCUGUGUCAAAAAAUUCUGUUCCAUAUGGAAAAUGUGACAUGUACAGUAGCUGCAAUGCUCUUGUUAUAUAAUUGGAUUAAAUUGUUUAAAGAAUAUGCAUGCUUGAAGAAUAAAUUGACUGUUAAAAAUUGGCGGUUACUGGGUGGAAAAGGCAUUUAGUGUGAGAGCCUGAAAUACUUUCAGCACAAAUUUGCAUUUCACAUUGCUGAUUUAUUUUCAUCAGUUGUAAGUUGCAGCCUGUUUACAGUAGAUCCACUAAAUAUUUGAGCGUUUUCAUAGUUACAUUUAAACUAAAUAUUUA